UGAUCUUGUCAAUAUCUUCUGCUUUGGGAAACUUGUAAUCAGGAUGCAUCCAAAGCAAAAUGUGAGCAUGUGGUCGUGAAUAGUAAAUAAACUAUUGAAGAUUCUAUGAAGAAGAUCUUAACAGGCCUAGAGGUUUAUGAUUCGGCCCAACAGAAGAAUCAAAAAAUCGGACCUUAAUAAACGGUUGUGUUUUUGUAUUUAAUCAAAUAUUCAAUCUUUACUCUCUGUUUGGCAACAGAUUUAAUUUUCAUGAAAUUUUUUUUUUUAAUGGGGUGCUGUUUGGCUUCAA